GUAGGUGGCAAGCGUUGUCCGGAAUUAUUGGGCGUAAAGCGCGCGCAGGCGGUUCUUUAAGUCUGAUGUGAAAGCCCACGGCUCAACCGUGGAGGGUCAUUGGAAACUGGAGAACUUGAGUACAGAAGAGGAAAGCGGAAUUCCACGUGUAGCGGUGAAAUGCGUAGAGAUGUGGAGGAACACCAGUGGCGAAGGCGGCUUUUCUGGUCUGUAACUGACGCUGAGGCGCGAAAGCGUGGGGAGCAAACAGGGAUUAGAUACCCUGGUAGUCCACGCCGUAAACGAUGAGUGCUAAGUGUUAGGGGGUUUCCGCCCCCUUAGUGCUGCAGCUAACGCAUUAAGCACUCCGCCUGGGAGUACGGCCGCAAGGCUG
rnacentral:rRNA from 1 species